UCUAUUUGAAGGUAAAAAUAGUCUGACCUGCCCACUGAUUAGUUGAUUUAAGGGCCGCAGUAUUAUGACUGUGCAAAGGUAGCAUAAUCAUUAGGUUUUUAAAUGGAAUCUUGCAUGAAUGGUCGAACAAAGGAGGGACUGUCUUAGAUUUAGUUUUGAAUUUUACUUUUAAGUGAAAAGGCUUAAAUAUAUUAGAGGGACGAUAAGACCCUAUAAAGCUUUACAUAUAAGCUGUAUUUAGCUAAAUUUUAAAUAUAAAAGUUUAAUAUAGUUUUUUGUUUUGUUGGGGAGACAGGUGUAGAAUUAAUUGUAGCUGCUUUACUAAAAACCAAUUAUUGAUGAAAAUUAACUGAUCCUAAUUAUAGAUUUAAAGUUUAAGUUACUUUAGGGAUAACAGUAUAAUUCUUUUUGAGAGUUCAUAUCGAAAAAAGAGUUUGUAACCUCGAUGYUGAAUUAAAACGUSUUUAUAA
rnacentral:rRNA from 1 species